AUGUAUGUCUUCCUGCCGUACACGGAAAGAAAUGUGCAGCCAUUGCUUGUCGCUACCUGGCAAAAUCAAAAAGGCCUCGUCCACGCAAACCAUUUACCACUUUUUCCAGAUAAAUUCUAUAGGUUUCUCUGGAGACCAACUCUAAUUGUGGCAGAAGAUGAGUACAGACCUCACGCAACGGUUACAGAAGAAAAAGGACCCGAUGGAAAGACAGCUACACUAUACAAGGGACCAAUGCUGAAUGUUCUCAAUAUACUGGCAUCAAAUAUCAAUUUUUCAUACACGAUGGUAAGGCCUCCUGAUGGAGCAUGGGGAGCAAAGCUAUCUGAUGGUUCCUGGACAGGAAUGGUGGCUAUGGUUAAGAAUGAGGAAGUAGAUAUUGCUUUGGGGCCUUUUGGUAUGACCGCCGUACGAGCAGAAGUGGUGGAUUAUACUGAUCCAAUGCUCCUGGACUAUGCAAGAAUUUUAGGAAGGAAAGGCAACCCGGAAGUUGACCCUUGGGGCUUCAUACUUCCCUUGUCAACAAAUGUGUGGGUGGCCCUUAUGGUGACGCUGCUUUUGGUCAUAUUCACCAUUCUUUUAAUUUUUGCUUGUAACUCUCAUCACUUAAGAAGCUUUUCU